rnacentral:rRNA from 1 species
GACGUAGGGCGCGAGCGUUGUCCGGAUUUAUUGGGCGUAAAGAGCUCGUAGGCGGCUUGUCGCGUCGACUGUGAAAACUCGGGGGCUCAACUCCGAGCUUGCAGUCGAUACGGGCAGGCUAGAGUUCGGUAGGGGAGACUGGAAUUCCUGGUGUAGCGGUGAAAUGCGCAGAUAUCAGGAAGAACACCCGUGGCUAAGGCGGCUCUCUAGUACGGUACUGACGCUGAGACGCGAAAGCGUGGGGAGCGAACAGG